rnacentral:rRNA from 1 species
AACACAUGCAAGUCGAGCGGGCCCUUCGGGGUCAGCGGCAGACGGGUGAGUAACGCGUGGGAACGUGCCCUUCGGUUCGGAAUAACCCUGGGAAACUAGGGCUAAUACCGGAUACGCCCCUUGGGGGAAAGGUUUACUGCCGAAGGAUCGGCCCGCGUCUGAUUAGCUAGUUGGUGAGGUAACGGCUCACCAAGGCGACGAUCAGUAGCUGGUCUGAGAGGAUGAUCAGCCACACUGGGACUGAGACACGGCCCAGACUCCUACGGGAGGCAGCAGAAGGG